GGUGUGACUGCCACAGGUGUGACUGCCACAGGUGUGCCCAGGUGUGACUGAAUGAUACAGGUGUGCUCAGGUGUGUGAGGGAUCCAGGUGUGAGCGGUACAAGCUCAAGGAGUGCUCCAAGUCCAUGGACGAGAGCCGGCUGGACCGGGUAGGGCAGGUGUGACUGCCACAGGUGUGACUGGGACAGGUGUGAGUGACCCAGGUGUGACUGGGACAGGUGUGAGUGACCCAGGUGUGCCCAGGUGUGUGAUUGGUACACGUGUGUGACUGGUACAGGUGUGUGAGGGAUCCAGGUGUGAGGGCUACAAGCUCAAGGAGUGCUCCAAGUCCAUGGACGAGAGCCGGCUGGACCAGGCAGGGACUCAGGUGUGAGUGCACAGGUGUGCCCAGGUGUGUGAGUGAUACAGGUGUGCCCAGGUGUGACUGAAUGAUACAGGUGUGCUCAGGUGUGUGACUGGUACAGGUGUGUGACUGGUACAGGUGUGUGACUGGUACAGGUGUGUGAGGGAUCCAGGUGUGAGGGGUACAAGCUCAAGGAGUGCUCCAAGUCCAUGGACGAGAGCCGGCUGGACCGGGUAGGGCAGGUGUGACUGCCACAGGUGUGACUGCCACAGGUGUGACUGAAUGAUACAGGUGUGAUCAGGUGUGUGAGUGGUACAGGUGUGUGAGGGAUCCAGGUGUGAGGAGUACAAGCUCAAGGAGUACUCAAAGUCCAUGGAUGAGAUCCGGCUGGACCGGGUAGGGCAGGUGUGACUGUCACAGGUGUGACUGGGACAGGUAUGACUGAAUGAUACAGGUGUGCCCAGGUGUGUGACUGGUACAGGUGUGUGAGGGAUCCAGGUGUGAGCGGUACAAGCUCAAGGAGUGCUCCAAGUCCAUGGACGAGAGCCGGCUGGACCGGGUGAAGGAGUACGAGGAGGAGAUCCACUUGCUGAAGGAGCGGCUGCACAGGCACAGGGGGGUGUGACAGGUGUGCCCAUAGCUGUGCCCAGGUGUGACAGGUGUGCCCAUAGCAGGGUUGUAGCUGUACCCAGCUGUGCCCAGGUGUGACAGGUGUGCCCGUAGCUGUGCCCAGGUGUGACAGGUGUGCCCAUAGCAGGGUUGUAGCUGUACCCAGCUGUGCCCAGGUGUGACAGGUGUGACAGGUGUGCCCAUAGCUGUGCCCAGGUGCGACAGGUGCGCCCAUAGCGGGGUGUAGAGGUUCCCAUGUGUGACAGGUGUGUCCGUAGCUGUGCCCAAGUGUGGCCAGGUGUGACAGGUAUGCCUGUAGCAGGGUUGUAGAUGUACCCAGGUGUGCCCAGGUGUGCCCAGGUGUGGCUAGGGCCCUGCAGUGUCCCUUUGGCAGGUGAAGGAGUACGAGGAGGAGAUCCACUCGCUGAAGGAGCGGCUGCACAGGGACAGGGGGGUGGCAGGUGUGACAGGUGUGCCCAUAGCAGUGCCCAGGUGUGACAGGUGUGCCAGGUGUGCCCAUAGCAGGGUUGUAGCUGUGCCCAGGUGUAACAGGUGUGCCCAUAGCUGUGCCCAGGUGUGACAGGUGUGCCCAUAGCUGUGCCCAGGUGCGACAGGUGCGCCCAUAGCGGGGUGUAGAGGUUCCCAUGUGUGACAGGUGUGCCCGUAGCUGUGCCCAGGUGUGGCCAGGUGUGACAGGUAUGCCUGUAGCAGGGUUGUAGAUGUACCCAGGUGUGCCCAGGUGUGCCCAGGUGUGUCCAGGGCUCUGCAGUGUCCCUUUGGCAGGUGAAGGAGUACGAGGAGGAGAUCCACUCGCUGAAGGAGCGGCUGCACAGGCACAGGGGGGUGUGACAGGUGUGCCCAUAGCUGUGCCCAGGUGUGACAGGUGUGACAGGUGUGCCCAUAGCUGUACCCAGAGUUACCCAGGUGUGCCCAGGCGUGGCCAGGGCCCUGCAGUGUCCCUUUGGCAGGUGAAGGAGUACGAGGAGGAGAUCCACUCGCUGAAGGAGCGGCUGCACAGGCACAGGGGGGUGUGACAGGUGUGCCCAUAGCUGUGCCCAGGUGUGACAGGUGUGCCCAUAGCAGCGUUGUAGCUGUACCCAGCUGUGCCCAGGUGUGACAGGUGUGCCCAUAGCGGGGUGCAGAGGGUUCCAGGUGUGCCCAGGUGUGCCCAGGUGUGCCCAGGUGCGGCCAGGGCCCUGCAGUGUCCCU